rnacentral:rRNA from 1 species
AUGCGCCGACCUGAGCAAAGCUGUUGCUGGCCAGCGGUGAGGCUGAUCCAUUCUGGCCUCGUCGACCUCGCAUCCGCCUUCCGCCGCGUCGCCCAGUGCCAGGCGGGCUCCCGGCGCAUCUUCCUUUGUCUCACUGUCGCCUCCCUACUUGGCAGGCCCGCCCGCGACCCCUCCCCCUUCCCUUUGUUCUAUCUCUGGAUCCCCUUCUUUUUGCUGUGUUUUUGUUGUUUGAUUCUGUCUUCAGAUAGCACAUGGCAAUUUAUUCACAUAACAUGGCUACUUCAUAUUUUAGGGACAAAAUUUAGAGUGCUGAACAUAUUAAGUUACCAUGGCAAAAUUGAUGUUAUAAUUGUAUGCAUGGUCAUGUAA